GUGAGUGCUUUUGUCCAGGACUACUCCAAAUAAAGGGGGUGCAGAAGAUCACAGGAUUGGAGGGGGGGUGGUUUAGCAUAUUUUCCAGUCCAGAUACCAAACAUAAAGUCGCUUUGUGCUCAAGCUAUGAUCUCAGAAUAUUGCGUAACACAUCUUUACACUCUUAUUGUUUACUAUCAUUUGUUAUAUUUCAUUUUAUUAAAAGGCUAUAUAGUUAAAGGUCAAAGUUCAAGUAUGGGUGCAAACAAAGCUGCAUCCUGCUGCUUCUUGUCAGUGCAGGCAGUGGUUAACCCUGCAACACAUAUGCAUCACUGUAAUUACAGCCUUUAAACAUAGGGCUGGCUCAGCUGACGAAGCACAUCAAAGUGAGGGGGGGGCAGAGAUGGGGCAAAUAGCCCCAGAGCGUGGCACAUUCAUACACGAUCGCAGAACUCGGCGUCCUCCAAGAGAGGAGACAGGAAAACGUGGCCCCUCCUCACCGCUAUAAAAGAGGGAGAAAAAAACUUGAGGGAGAGGGGAGGAAGAAAAAAAAGGGAAAAAAGGGGGAAGAAGAAAGAAAAUCACACCCAUCUGAACCGUGUGCGCAGCUUAACCAUGGGAGAACGGCUCAUAUGGAGAUGUGCUCCUCCUGCUAACCUGCCAACCUCAUCUGUCAGCCAUUAGCUAAUCAGAGCUGGUAAUGGAGACCACAGAGCGCUGGCACGGCUCGUGGGACCGGAGGACAGCUUCAUCCCCCAGAGCAAGACCUUCGCCCCGCACGCCCGCAGCUUAUCGCUUACAAGGCCUGACAGAGGAAAAUGCAUCCAUCCACAGCAAGACCACCAAAGAGGAGUGAAACCAAAAGAGAGAAUCCUACGGUAAAAGAGAAGGGUCAAAAGAGAGUGAGAAAAAGCCUCCCAAGAAUCGUCAGCUUGCUAGUGUCGACAGGUCCACACAGGACCAGGUCCGGUUUGGAUGGAUGGAUGUAGAUGGGAGCCUUGUGGUAAAUGGAGGUUAAACAGGAGACACUCAGAGAGAGCUGAUAAUCUUUUCCAUAGAUUACCGACAGAACGGUGUGAAGCCCAGCCUGUCUAACCAAGUCAAAGUAGGGCCGUGGCCCCUGUCAUUCAGCCGGGAUAGCCCAAACUAAAUGCUUCCAGACUUUAGUGCUCUGGCUCCCCUCAUUUCCACUGCAGCUGCUCCCCAUCACCAAACUGCAGCAACUGUGUUUUCAUAAACUCAGCUUAAGCUAAGCCAUCCGUUCAGUUUAUACCAACUAUUGAUGAGACCCAAACAACAAGCUAGAACACGUCAUGAUCCGCUACAUCAUUAAUGUCCUGAGAAGCUCUCUCAUCUCUAUCACAUAGUUUAAAGCUGUAGAUACCAUCUGGUUUUCUAAAGGCCAUUCUUUUUCUUUUUUCUGAAAAGCCACAUUGAAACAUUAUCUUCCAACACAGAUUUUCCUGGUUAAAACCAUGACAAAAAACAUGGUGGUAAACACUUGGAUGGAAAGGGAUCUUCCACCCUUUAAUUAAAUUGCUCACACUCCAGCAAUGACACAAAAGAACCACCCUGAGGCGACACAUGCAGAGGUGGGUCCCCGCCUCGUGCCCUGGGGGGGCAAAGUGGAGAAGUUGUGCAUAUGGAAUCCAUUUGAAGGCACCUCAUGAGCAGGAAACCCACAAAUGUGCUGUUGUUAGCAAUAAACAAGCAACGUCGACUUGGUUGAACUUUUAAAAAGUCUCAGUCAUUUCAGAUAGUUAAUAUCAACGUUGUGUCUAUAAAUGUUGACUUUGUGCAAUAAAGACAAUAAUUGUGUUGUGUCUUCUCGUUAUUUCUAGCCACAAACAGGAAAUCUCACACACUAAAUUGAAAAAAAAAUGAACUUUUUUUGCAUUUUUAGAGUCCCUGACUUUAGCAAAUAUCAAUUUAAAGAGUUUUGCUAACAAAUGAAUGGAUAAGCUUGAGUUUGAAGAUAUUGAGAGAAAACAUUCCUUUUUAGGAAUUAAAAACUCAAUUUCUGAUUAAAAACCAAAACAAGAUCUUCACUUUUUAUAAGUGUAGAUGCAAUUGUUUUUUUUACUGAGAACUGAAGAAUUAAAAAAUAAUUAACAUGUUACUAUAAUCUGUAGAAAUUUAGCUCAAUCUAAAAAAUAAAUCUUGCAGGAUUUUGGUUCAGCAAAUGAUUCUUAGUUUUAAGGCUAUUUUAGCGUGAACACAAUCUAAUUUAGAGCUACAGGCUUUUACUUUGUAAAUUAAAGGUUCUAAAAAGACAAUUAACCUUGAUAUUGUUUUUUUAAAGUAAAAACUAUUAAAAUAAUGUUUUUUUGUGUAAUUCAACAAAAUAAAACUUCACUUUGCAGAACAAGUGCAAAUAUAAGCACAUUUCCUGUUGUUGGAGCCUUUCAAAAUAAGAUUCAUAGCAGAACUGCUUUGUGUAAUACUUCACAGGUGUUUGUUUUAAAUGUUCCCUCAUAGGAACAUAUGUAUAUAUGUGAUUUUGUAUUAAAUGGCUACAAUAUGAGUAUCAUUUGUAUAUGUUUAUUAUUUUUUAUUAGUAAAAAUCUGCAAAAUUACUUAUUUUAAGUCUGUGGUUUUCCAAUGUUCCAGCUUAAUUUGUUCUUUUGUUUGGUUAAAUAUCCUUUGCCAACACUUAUUAUUACUAAUUAUGGUUGUUGUAGUAAAUAAAUAAUAAUGUCUCCUGCCACAUGCGUUACACACAGUUCCAUUAGUGCAAUGAUGAACAGAUGUACCACCCAGCGCCAGUGUUUGCCUUGGACUGUGUCUGUUUUCUCUGGAGAGAUUACGGAAUAAACCACAUAAAACCGCCUCUGGUGUUUUUCAACUGGGUGAACAGAUAGUGUACAGUAAAGAGUUACUAUGAACCAAAGCAGUUCAGUCUAUUGAGGGUCACGAAGCAAAACGCCCAUAAUGACCCACAAAUGGGUGUUUGUGAAACGUGUAUGGUGAGUCGUGUGUGGCUUCUUUCUAAUCGCAAAGUAGGCUGUUGUGCUAUUUUGUUGUGUACAUUUUCAAUGUGGUGUUUGGUCUCGAGUACAAAGAAAUUAAUAAAGUUUUUCAGAGCAAAGUCUUGCAUUUUAUUUGUCAAUAAAAAAAAUACUGCAGUGAAAAACAAACACAUCUUUCACAUUUAUGCUUCUUUAAUAGUCUUUACAACUGGAAAUAAAAACUACGUUGACACAUUUAAGGCUUUUUCCAUGUAAAUGAAAUAAAUAGUAAAAAAAAAAAA